UGCGUAGGUGGCAAGGCAAGUCUGAAGUGAAAAUCCGGGGCUCAACCCCGGAACUGCUUUGGAAACUGUUUAGCUAGAGUACAGGAGAGGUAAGUGGAAUUCCUAGUGUAGCGGUGAAAUGCGUAGAUAUUAGGAGGAACACCAGUGGCGAAGGCGACUUACUGGACUGCUACUGACACUGAGGCACGAAAGCGUGGGGAAGCAAACA
rnacentral:rRNA from 1 species